rnacentral:rRNA from 1 species
CCUACGGGUGGCAGCAGUGGGGAAUAUUGCACAAUGGGCGCAAGCCUGAUGCAGCCAUGCCGCGUGUGUGAAGAAGGCCUUCGGGUUGUAAAGCACUUUCAGCGGGGAGGAAGGCGUUAAGGUUAAUAACCUUGUCGAUUGACGUUACCCGCAGAAGAAGCACCGGCUAACUCCGGGCCAGCAGCCGCGGUAAUACGGAGGGUGCAAGCGUUAAUCGGAAUUACUGGGCGUAAAGCGCACGCAGGCGGUCUGUCAAGUCGGAUGUGAAAUCCCCGGGCUCAACCUGGGAACUGCAUUCGAAACUGGCAGGCUAGAGUCUUGUAGAGGGGGGUAGAAUUCCAGGUGUAGCGGUGAAAUGCGUAGAGAUCUGGAGGAAUACCGGUGGCGAAGGCGGCCCCCUGGACAAAGACUGACGCUCAGGUGCGAAAGCGUGGGGAGCAAACAGGAUUAGAUACCCCAGUAGUC